AACUGGGCGUUAAGUUGCAGGGUAUAGACCCGAAACCCGGUGAUCUAGCCAUGGGCAGGUUGAAGGUUGGGUAACACUAACUGGAGGACCGAACCGACUAAUGUUGAAAAAUUAGCGGAUGACUUGUGGCUGGGGGGGAAAGGCCAAUCAAACCGGGAGAUAGCUGGUUCUCCCCGAAAGCUAUUUAGGUAGCGCCUCGUGAAUUCAUCUCCGGGGGUAGAGCACUGUUUCGGCAAGGGGGUCAUCCCGACUUACCAACCCGAUGCAAACUGCGAAUACCGGAGAAUGUUAUCACGGGAGACACACGGCGGGUGCUAACGUCCGUCGUGAAGAGGGAAACAACCCAGACCGCCAGCUAAGGUCCCAAAGUCAUGGUUAAGUGGGAAACGAUGUGGGAAGGCCCAGACAGCCAGGAUGUUGGCUUAGAAGCAGCCAUCAUUUAAAGAAAGCGUAAUAGCUCACUGGUCGAGUCGGCCUGCGCGGAAGAUGUAACGGGGCUAAACCAUGCACCGAAGCUGCGGCAGCGACGCUGAUGCGUUGUUGGGUAGGGGAGC
rnacentral:rRNA from 1 species